UUAUAUAGGCAACUAUUCUAUAUACGCGUAUGUUAUUAGUCAUUGGCCGCCUCGCUCGGAUACAGUCGCCGCGCACUUAUAUUUGCUGCAGCGCCGAGACUGAUCGAUAAAAAAGUAUAUCAGGCGUAGGCUUUUUAUAUAUAAAAAUAGUAUAAGCUCGCGCGUAUAGGUGUAGCGUAUACAGUUGGCGCGACGAGUAAUCAGAUAGCUAAUAAACGCGAAUAAACCGCGUUAUAAAGCCAUACAGAGUGCGAGUGCGGAGUACAUUGAGGACUGUUCACUGCACCGCGAGCUCCGAGACUUCGAGAGACUAUAUCUAUAUACGAGUCGACCACUACCAAACGUCCAACACACACUGUGGCCUCUUGUGUAUACACACACACGCACGCAUAACGUACAUGUAUGUAAAUAUACACGCACAUAGCCAUAUAGCUGCGUGCAGGCUGACGACACAUGCUGCUUUGUGCUGCUGCUGUGUAUGGCAGUGUUGAAUUGCACGCGCGGAUAACACAAGUGUCCAAGUCUGCGUCACCACCAGCGACAAAGACGCGCGACAACGACGACUGACAUGAUGAUGAAAAACAUCAAACCUUGUGGGCUUAUUUGAUGAAGACUGUGAUGAGUGAUUCGGAACAGCGUCAACUGCAUGUGCCUUAUCGAGAGUAUAACAGUAACAAUAGUACAACACCAGCUACUCUUGUAGAAACAGAUGCUCUCGUUGACCUGUCAGUCACCCCAAGCAGUAACAUUGCCAUACUUGCCAACGGUGAUCCAGUAGUUUUAAUACCAGACGUUGAAUUUGCUCCUAACCCUAGUGUUGAUCAAGCAUUAACCAUUGAUUCACCUGGAGCAGACCGGGAGAGUCAACCUCUCCUUGGUCGCUUAGAGCUGGAUAUUACGUACAAUAGGUUUCCUGACGAUCCACAAUUUUCAGAAUUAAUAUCGCAAGCAGAAGGUGCAAUAGAUAAUGGAAUAUUUCCAGAAAGAAUAUACCAAGGCUCUAGUGGAAGUUACUUUGUUAAAAAUCCAGCAGGGAAAAAUAUUGGCGUAUUCAAGCCAAAAGACGAAGAGCCAUAUGGCCGUUUAAAUCCAAAAUGGACCAAAUGGAUGCACAAGUUAUGUUGCCCUUGUUGUUUUGGCCGGAGUUGCUUGAUACCAAAUCAAGGAUACCUCAGCGAAGCUGGAGCAAGUCUUGUAGACCGAAAACUUGGUCUAGGUGUUGUUCCAAAAACAAGGGUCGUAAGACUCGUCAGUAAAACUUUCAAUUACGUCCGCAUAGACCGCGAGAAAGCUAGAAUGAAACAAGCUAUUCUGGAGCAGUUUCCAGCUGUAGCGUCGCGCUUCCACAGGAUAGGUCUGCCGCCGAAAGUUGGCUCAUUCCAGUGCUUCGUCGAUGGUUUUAAAGAUGCUGACUUCUGGCUUAGGCGCUGGGAAAGUGAUCCACCACCACCGCACCUGGCCACACAAUUUCAAUUACAAUUCGAGCGUCUAGUCGUUUUAGACUAUAUUAUUAGAAAUACGGAUAGAGGUAACGAUAAUUGGCUGAUAAAAUACGACGCAGCUUCAGCGAAGAAUGGCACUGAGGGCGAAGUGAAAAUUGCCGCAAUCGAUAAUGGUUUGGCAUUUCCCUUCAAGCACCCAGACUCAUGGCGCGCGUAUCCUUAUCACUGGGCUUGGUUGAGCCAAGCCAAACUGCCUUUUAGCGAGACUACAAGGGAACUUGUUUUACCUCAAUUAGCCGAUCAAAAUUUUGUACAAGAUUUGUGCGAUGACUUGUAUCAAUUGUUUAAACAAGAUAAAGGAUUUGAUCGACAUUUAUUUGAUAAACAAAUGAGUGUGAUGCGAGGCCAAAUAUUAAAUCUUCAGCAGGCUUUGAAAGAUGCCAAGAGUCCAGUGCAACUCGUCCAAAUGCCGGCUGUUAUCGUUGAAAAGUAAUUAAGACGUUAAACUAUCUACUUCUCUCUUCUAUCAACAACAACACCAGAUUUUUUAAAGAGGCCAGAGGAAACGAAGCACCGAAGCUAUUUUCAUUCUCGGACACGUUUACACAGCGCUUCCAAAACAAGAGUCCUUUCUUCUCUUGGUGUUA
rnacentral:misc_RNA from 1 species